GACGAACGCUGGCGGCGUGCCUAAUACAUGCAAGUCGAGCGGAUCUUCAUUAGCUUGCUUUUGAAGAUCAGCGGCGGACGGGUGAGUAACACGUGGGCAACCUGCCUGUAAGACUGGAAUAACUUCGGGAAACCGGAGCUAAUACCGGAUAAUCCUUUUCCUCUCAUGAGGAAAAGCUGAAAGACGGUUUCGGCUGUCACUUACAGAUGGGCCCGCGGCGCAUUAGAUCGUUGGUGAGGUAACGGCUCACCAAGGCGACGAUGCGUAGCCGACCUGAGAGGGUGAUCGGCCACACUGGGACUGAGACACGGCCCAGACUCCUACGGGAGGCAGCAGUAGGGAAUCUUCCGCAAUGGACGAAAGUCUGACGGAGCAACGCCGCGUGAGCGAUGAAGGCCUUCGGGUCGUAAAGCUCUGUUGUCAGGGAAGAACAAGUACCGGAGUAACUGCCGGUACCUUGACGGUACCUGACCAGAAAGCCACGGCUAACUACGUGCCAGCAGCCGCCGUAAAAC
rnacentral:rRNA from 1 species